UGGCGGCGAUAGCGCGGUGGUCCCACCUGACCCCAUGCCGAACUCAGAAGUGAAACGCCGUAGCGCCGAUGGUAGUGU
rnacentral:rRNA from 1 species